UCUUCGUGACAUUACAUAGGUCAUUUGCUAUCAUAGCAAAAGGCUAUUUCGAAUUCUCGGUAGUGAAAGAAAGCACUGAACGAGAGAUUAAAGAAAUGCAAUUAAAGAAAUGCAAUAAGUAAAUUUGUAACAAGCAAUUUUCAAUGAUAUUGAGAUUAUACAACGAGAAAAUGACUCUUAAGGCUAACUUCGAUGAGAAAAAUUGAACUUUUCAUGAAUUUUUGAAUAAAAUUUAGUUCUGUUCUGUGUUGUCUUGUUUUUAAUAAUGUCUAACAGAUACCUUUUCAACCAAAAAUUUUUUCUACAAAGACAAAAAGCAUGUAGCGCACCAAAACUCAAUAGUGGUGUAUUUUUUAAGAAACCGUGCCCUUUUCUCCUUCGUCUUUUGCUUUGAUUGACUGAGUCCGCAGUUUACCACUUCAAAUAGACAUAAGCAUCGAAACAGGAAAAUUUUGUCCUCUGGCCCUCUGUUUACUUUGGAUUUGAUUGUAGACUGGAGCAAGAAAUUGCUGAGAGAAAAAUAUGGCUGAUUUUUACGUCGUGGCAUUCAAGGAUCUGCCAAGUAUUGAAUUCGAUAGGGUAGAUCCGGUGAGAGACAAUCUGCAAGAUUACCAAGACUACGACAUUAGACCUGCUGGGAAUGAUUUGAAGGUUGCUGUGAAAAUGGCCGAUGAACGCCGCAAAGCUGCUAUCGUGUACGACGUUAAAAGUCAAAGCAGUGCUUACGCAAAUGAAAAAUGUAAUCCAGACAAAGCAGAACAAUUGCAAGCAUUUGCUAAAAAGAGGCUCUGAUUUUGAAGCGUACUAACAGUGAACACAUUUGUAUUCGCAUUGGAAAAUGUUAAUGUCAUAGAGAUUGAUGUCAUUUUCUCAAA